rnacentral:rRNA from 2 species
UACGGAGGGUGCAAGCGUUGUCCGGAUUUAUUGGGUUUAAAGGGUGCGUAGGCGGCCGAUUAAGUCAGUGGUGAAAGUUUCCGGCUCAACCGGGAGACUGCCAUUGAUACUGGUUGGCUUGAGUUAUGGAGGGGUACAUGGAAUUUAUGGUGUAGCGGUGAAAUGCAUAGAUACCAUAAGGAACACCGAUAGCGAAGGCAUUGUACUGGCCAUAAACUGACGCUGAGGCACGAAAGCGUGGGUAGCGAACAGG